AUUGAACGCUGGCGGCAGGCCUAACACAUGCAAGUCGAGCGGGGUUUUCGGACCUAGCGGCGGACGGGUGAGUAAUGCGUAGGAAGCUACCCGAUAGAGGGGGAUACCAGUUGGAAACGACUGUUAAUACCGCAUAAUGUCUACGGACCAAAGUGUGGGACCUUCGGGCCACAUGCUAUCGGAUGCGCCUACGUGGGAUUAGCUAGUUGGUGGGGUAAUGGCUCACCAAGGCGACGAUCCCUAGCUGGGUUGAGAGGAUGAUCAGCCACACUGGCACUGAGACACGGUCCAGACUCCUACGGGAGGCAGCAGUGGGGAAUAUUGGACAAUGGGCGCAAGCCUGAUCCAGCCAUGCCGCGUGUGUGAAGAAGGCCUUCGGGUUGUAAAGCACUUUCAGUAGGGAGGAAGAGUUGAGUGUUAAUAGUACUCAGCUUUGACGUUACCUACAGAAGAAGCACCGGCUAACUCUGUGCCAGCCGCCGCGGUAAAAC
rnacentral:rRNA from 1 species